GACGAACGCUGGCGGCGUGCUUAACACAUGCAAGUCGAACGGAAAGGCCCUGCUUUUGUGGGGUGCUCGAGUGGCGAACGGGUGAGUAACACGUGAGUAACCUGCCCUUGACUUUGGGAUAACUUCAGGAAACUGGGGCUAAUACCGGAUAGGAGCUCCUGCUGCAUGGUGGGGGUUGGAAAGUUUCGGCGGUUGGGGAUGGACUCGCGGCUUAUCAGCUUGUUGGUGGGGUAGUGGCUUACCAAGGCUUUGACGGGUAGCCGGCCUGAGAGGGUGACCGGCCACAUUGGGAAUGAGAUACGGCCCAGACUCCUACGGGAGGCAGCAGUGGGGAAUAUUGCACAAUGGGCGGAAGACUGAUGCAGCAACGCCGCGUGCGGGAUGACGGACUUCGGGUUGUAAACCGCUUUCGCCUGUGACGAAGCGUGAGUGACGGUAAUGGGUAAAGAAGCACCGGCUAACUACGUG
rnacentral:rRNA from 1 species